AAAUCCAUUAUAAUAAUUACUAGGGUUUGAUUUAAGAUUUAAGAUUUGGUUAGGAUUUGAUUUAGGAUUAGGAUUUGAUUAGGAUUUGAUUUAGAGUUAGGAUUUUAUUAGAAUUUUAUAUAGAAUUAGGAUUUGAUUUAGGAUUUAGGAUUUGGUUAGGAUUUAGUUUAGGAUUUAGGAUUUGGUUAGGAUUUGAUUUAGGAUUUAGGAUUUGGUUUAGGAUUUAGGAUUUUAUUAGGGUUUGAUUUAGGAUUAGAAUUUGGUUAGGAGUUGAUUUAGAGUUUAAGAUUUAGUUAGGAUUUGAUUUAGGAUUUAGAGUUUUAUUUGGGUUUGUUGAGGAUUUACGAUUUAGCUGAUUUUUGGCCUAAAGUUUGAAUGAAGUCCAAUAAGAUUUUAAUUAGGAUUAUGAAGACUUCUCGUAUUAUGACAACAUAGUACAAUAAGUUGAAAAGUUCAUAUAGAGGCUCUUUUAGUUCAUGUAUAUAUUGCUAAGAGUAAACAUAAAGCCUUGAUAGAA
rnacentral:lncRNA from 1 species